rnacentral:rRNA from 5 species
GCACCACCAGGCGUGGAGCC